rnacentral:rRNA from 1 species
GACGAACGCUGGCGGCGUGCUUAACACAUGCAAGUCGAGCGGAAAGGCCCUUUCGGGGGUACUCGAGCGGCGAACGGGUGAGUAACACGUGAGUAAUCUGCCCCUGGCUUUGGGAUAGCCACCGGAAACGGUGAUUAAUACCGGAUACGACCACUUCUCGCAUGGGAUGGUGGUGGAAAGUUUUUCGGCCAGGGAUGUGCUCGCGGCCUAUCAGCUUGAUGGUGAGGUAAUGGCUCACCAUGGCUUCGACGGGUAGCCGGCCUGAGAGGGUGACCGGUCACACUGUGACUGAGACACGGCCCAGACUCCUACGGGAGGCAGCAGUGGGGAAUAUUGGACAAUGGGCGAAAGCCUGAUCCAGCAACGCCGCGUGCGGGAUGACGGCCUUCGGGUUGUAAACCUCUUUCAGCAGGGACGAAGCGCAAGUGACGGUACCUGCAGAAGAAGCACCGGCCAACUACGUGCCAGCCGCCGCAGUAA